GGCUCCGUAGCUCAGCUGGUAGAGCGCUUGCAGCCUUUGGGCAUGCUGUCUCUGGCACUGGUUAGAACCCAGCCGAAGUCU